AACCCUUCCACGAUUCCACAGCACAAGGAGUUUUUGUGGUGUAAACACACCUGGAUUUUUCACCCCUCUUUUAAACUGGAAGAAGCUGAACCCAGGUGAACGACAUCGAGUUCCUCUCUGGCAGCUCUCUGAACCCAGCUGGCUGCAAGCACAUCCACCAGCAGCAGCACAACCUCAGAAGAGAAAGAAAAGCCUGGAGGUGACACACAGUUGCUGUAUCUCUUGGAUGCUGUGCAGAACGGAAUCAGGCAGCCAAACCUCAGGUUCACCUUCUCCCUGACCCUCUACGUUGCUCGUGUGGCGCAGCAGAUCCUGAAGCCAGAGGAGCACAUGUACAUAAAGGUAAACAGAUUCCUUCUGUCACACCAGUAUUUGGACCUGAGGAAAGUACCAGGUUUUUUCCAGCUUUUCUACAGUUUUGAUUUUGAGUACAAAACAGAGCGUGAGUGGAUCCUCAGAUUUCUUGGGGAAGGGCUGCGUGACAAACAUUGCUAUGAGCUUUAUGACUACCAGAGGAUUUUCCAGGUCGUUCUUUCCUUUUUCAACAGUCCUUUGUGUGAUGAAGGCUCCCAGAGUCGUAUUCUGGAGAUAUUACAAAGUGCUGCCCGUGUCACCAGAGCUGCCUAUUUUUAUUUUUUUUUAAUAAUUGUUUAAUUUUUUCUAUUUUU